rnacentral:rRNA from 1 species
ACUCCUACGGGAGGCAGCAGUGGGGAAUAUUGCACAAUGGGCGCAAGCCUGAUGCAGCCAUGCCGCGUGUGUGAAGAAGGCCUUCGGGUUGUAAAGCACUUUCAGUUGUGAGGAGGUGGGUGUCGUUUAAUAGCGGGCAUUCAUUUUGACGUUAGCAACAGAAGAAGCACCGGCUAACUCCGUGCCAGCAGCCGCGGUAAUACGGAGGGUGCGAGCGUUAAUCGGAAUUACUGGGCGUAAAGCGCAUGCAGGUGGUUUGUUAAGUCAGAUGUGAAAGCCCGGGGCUCAACCUGC